UUGCCAUUAUUAUUCUGCGGUUGCUACUCACCAGUUGGCACCCCUCCAACGAGUUCACCAGCUGCGCGUUCUGGCAGGAAAGGAUGGAGCCGGCCAAGUUGAGCAUCACGCAGACGGCCGACAAGAGCAUGAAAAAGCUUGGAGAAGAACAGACGGAGGGAGGAGAGGAUCAAGAGAACAAUGGCCCACCACGGAGAAGGCAGCUUCCUAUCGCACAUAGAAGAUCUUCCUAACAUCUCACCGUUCCGCGCCUGAUAUUCUCCCGGCGAUGGCUUUGAAUGUAUGCCUUUCCCCGGCUCAUCUGAUAAUAUUGUACUAAACUCCUGUUCCUGUAUCUGUUUCAUCUCCAUCAUCUCACCGGGGCAAAUGUUCAUCUGGAUUUUGCAAACCUUUGAUAACAGCCUUUUGGGGAGCCUGCCUGCCUCGGUUUCCUUUCAGAAGCACUUAGGCAGGGCUGGUGUCCUAAAGCGAGCCCAUUAUAAAGCAGCGAAUCUUAAUAAACUAGGCAGCACAAGGUA